ensembl:snoRNA
UGGAUCGAUGAUGACCACUGAUGGCGUAUGAGUUGUGUACGCUGAAUACGUGUUUGGAACUCUGAGGUCCAA